rnacentral:rRNA from 1 species
AUUCGUCACACUAUCAUUAACUGAAUCCAUAGGUUAAUGAGGCGAACCGGGGGAACUGAAACAUCUAAGUACCCCGAGGAAAAGAAAUCAACCGAGAUUCCCCCAGUAGCGGCGAGCGAACGGGGAGGAGCCCAGAGCCUGAAUCAGUGUGUGUGUUAGUGGAAGCGUCUGGAAAGGCGCGCGAUACAGGGUGACAGCCCCGUACACAAAAAUACACAUAUUGUGAGCUCGAUGAGUAGGGCGGGACACGUGGUAUCCUGUCUGAAUAUGGGGGGACCAUCCUCCAAGGCUAAAUACUCCUGACUGACCGAUAGUGAACCAGUACCGUGAGGGAAAGGCGA